GAGUUUGAUCAUGGCUCAGGACGAACGCUGGCGGCGUGCCUAAUACAUGCAAGUAGAACGCUGAAGAGAGGAGCUUGCUCUUCUUGGAUGAGUUGCGAACGGGUGAGUAACGCGUAGGUAACCUGCCUUGUAGCGGGGGAUAACUAUUGGAAACGAUAGCUAAUACCGCAUAACAAUGGAUGACACAUGUCAUUUAUGUGAAAGGGGCAAUUGCUCCACUACAAGAUGGACCUGCGUUGUAUUAGCUAGUAGGUGAGGUAAUGGCUCACCUAGGCGACGAUACAUAGCCGACCUGAGAGGGUGAUCGGCCACACUGGGACUGAGACACGGCCCAGACUCCUACGGGAGGCAGCAGUAGGGAAUCUUCGGCAAUGGGGGCAACCCUGACCGAGCAACGCCGCGUGAGUGAAGAAGGUUUUCGGAUCGUAAAGCUCUGUUGUAAGUCAAGAACGGGUGUGAGAGUGGAAAGUUCACACUGUGACGGUAGCUUACCAGAAAGGGACGGCUAACUACGUGCCAGCAGCCGCGGUAAUACGUAGGUCCCGAGCGUUGUCCGGAUUUAUUGGGCGUAAAGCGAGCGCAGGCGGUUUGAUAAGUCUGAAGUUAAAGGCUGUGGCUCAACCAUAGUUCGCUUUGGAAACUGUCAAACUUGAGUGCAGAAGGGGAGAGUGGAAUUCCAUGUGUAGCGGUGAAAUGCGUAGAUAUAUGGAGGAACACCGGUGGCGAAAGCGGCUCUCUGGUCUGUAACUGACGCUGAGGCUCGAAAGCGUGGGGAGCGAACAGGAUUAGAUACCCUGGUAGUCCACGCCGUAAACGAUGAGUGCUAGGUGUUGGAUCCUUUCCGGGAUUCAGUGCCGCAGCUAACGCAUUAAGCACUCCGCCUGGGGAGUACGACCGGAAGGUUGAAACUCAAAGGAAUUGACGG
rnacentral:rRNA from 1 species